rnacentral:rRNA from 1 species
UACGUAGGGGGCAAGCGUUAUCCGGAUUUACUGGGUGUAAAGGGAGCGUAGACGGCGGUGCAAGCCAGAUGUGAAAGCCCGGGGCUCAACCCCGGGACUGCAUUUGGAACUGUGCUGCUAGAGUGUCGGAGAGGCAGGCGGAAUUCCUAGUGUAGCGGUGAAAUGCGUAGAUAUUAGGAGGAACACCGGUGGCGAAGGCGGCCAACUGGGCUUUAACUGACGCUGAGGCUCGAAAGUGUGGGGAGCAAACAGG